rnacentral:rRNA from 1 species
CCGGCGACCGGCGCACGGGUGAGUAACACGUAUGCAACCUGCCCUCUUCAGGGGGACAACCUUCCGAAAGGGAAGCUAAUCCCGCGUAUAUCGGUUUCGGGCAUCCGAGAUCGAGGAAAGAUUCAUCGGAAGAGGAUGGGCAUGCGGCGCAUUAGCUAGACGGCGGGGUAACGGCCCACCGUGGCGACGAUGCGUAGGGGUUCUGAGAGGAAGGUCCCCCACACUGGUACUGAGACACGGACCAAACUCCUACGGGAGGCAGCAG